rnacentral:rRNA from 1 species
AUGGGGUCGGCUCCUUCUGGAGCUGGCGACGAGGGAAACUUUGGAUCGCGGGAAUGGCACCUAUCAUUGGAGAGGAGGGUCGUGAUUUUUUUAGCGAGAAAAUUCGGGAAACCAGCGCUCCCGUCGGGAGGGGGUCGACAAAAGGAAGGUAAAAAUUGUGGACUAGUAGAGUGGAUUGAUCCAUCUUGGCCCAAUACCCUUGAGAAUGCACUGUCCAAGUUAUGGUCUAUGUAUGAACAGACUAAGAUAGACAGGACUGAGGAAUGUCUGAUGCAUUCAUUUGCUGUCCAUGACCUGAUACAAGAGAAGAAGAAACUCCAGGUAGCCUAUGAGAAGUUGGUUGAAGAUGUAAAUGCACUUAUGGAUGCCCAGGAGCAGAGGGCAGUGAUACAAAUGAAAGAUGCUGAAACCACCAAGUUGCAGGAGAAGUAUGACACUGUGAAGAACAUAGCAGCUGCUUAG